UUGAUUUGCGCGCUUCAGUUCGCCCAGACACGAUCGGAUCGCAUCACUCUGCGCAGAAGCCGAUUGUCAACUGUUUGGAUUUCCAUGCUGCGCGCUUUUUGGAGUAAGUUAUCAGCGCUGGGCAUAGUCGACUACCUGGGCAGGUGGCAGGUUCGCUCAGACCCGACAAUUUCGCAUCGCCUGAUAAGCGUUGGCUGAGCGUGAUAAGAUAAGAUUUGCAUCAUUGCGUGCCAUGUGUGGAAAUUUCAUGCAUUAAGUUGCAGACUGUCAUGGGCGCUAAAGCGUCUAAGAAUAGCCCACAUAUAUAGACACUCGUAAAUCAAGAGCUCAUCAAAGUAAAGACAAACGAGAACUUGAAAUCCCAAAAAGUGCGGAAACAUUCAGCCAAACCAAAACAAAGGCACACAUAAAUCUAUUGCGGACUUGGCCUAAACAAGCUACUUAAGCGGGCAACUUGAAACAAUUAUGCCUCAAAGGCGGGCAAAACAUUUCCCACAUGCUCCACAAAUUAAUAAAUGCGGUUGGGAAUCGAGGUCAUGGACAUAAAGCGGCAUGAUAAAUUCCUGAAACCCCGUUCCAGUGCCAAUCGGACCAGUUUGAAAGUCACUUUAUUUACAUUUGCCUAAAUUACAGUGCACUUUCUAACAUAUUUUUAAUGAACCUAUUAAAAACAUAUUCCGCAAGUGUUUCAUUCCACUUGUUCCAAUUGAAUUAAA